GUUGAAUUACUGGGGUGCCCAAAAGGCUGAGAUAGGAAAACCUGAACCCACAUAACUUGAUUCGGAUAAUACCGGCGAAAGGAGUAAUGUGUAUAUUUUU
rfam:Fusobacterium varium ATCC 27725 genomic scaffold supercont2.11, whole genome shotgun sequence.